rnacentral:rRNA from 1 species
UUAUAUGAGAGUUUGAUCCUGGCUCAGGAUGAACGCCGGCGGUGUGCCUAAUACAUGCAAGUCGAACGCGUUGGCCCAAUUGAUUGAUGAUGCUUGCACCUGAUUGAUUUUGGUUGCCAGCGAGUGGCGGACGGGUGAGUAACACGUAGGUAACCUGCCCAGAAGCGGGGGACAACAUUUGGAAACAGAUGCUAAUACCGCAUAACAGCGUUGUUCGCAUGAACAACGCUUAAAAGAUGGCUUCUCGCUAUCACUUCUGGAUGGACCUGCGGUGCAUUAGCUUGUUGGUGGGGUAACGGCCUACCAAGGCGAUGAUGCAUAGCCGAGUUGAGAGACUGAUCGGCCACAAUGGGACUGAGACACGGCCCAUACUCCUACGGGAGGCAGCAGUAGGGAAUCUUCCACAAUGGGCGCAAGCCUGAUGGAGCAACACCGCGUGAGUGAAGAAGGGUUUCGGCUCGUAAAGCUCUGUUGUUAAAGAAGAACACGUAUGAGAGUAACUGUUCAUACGUUGACGGUAUUUAACCAGAAAGUCACGGCUAACUACGUGCCAGCAGCCGCGGUAAUACGUAGGUGGCAAGCGUUAUCCGGAUUUAUUGGGCGUAAAGAGAGUGCAGGCGGUUUUCUAAGUCUGAUGUGAAAGCCUUCGGCUUAACCGGAGAAGUGCAUCGGAAACUGGAUAACUUGAGUGCAGAAGAGGGUAGUGGAACUCCAUGUGUAGCGGUGGAAUGCGUAGAUAUAUGGAAGAACACCAGUGGCGAAGGCGGCUACCUGGUCUGCAACUGACGCUGAGACUCGAAAGCAUGGGUAGCGAACAGGAUUAGAUACCCUGGUAGUCCAUGCCGUAAACGAUGAGUGCUAGGUGUUGGAGGGUUUCCGCCCUUCAGUGCCGGAGCUAACGCAUUAAGCACUCCGCCUGGGGAGUACGACCGCAAGGUUGAAACUCAAAGGAAUUGACGGGGGCCCGCACAAGCGGUGGAGCAUGUGGUUUAAUUCGAAGCUACGCGAAGAACCUUACCAGGUCUUGACAUCUUGCGCCAACCCUAGAGAUAGGGCGUUUCCUUCGGGAACGCAAUGACAGGUGGUGCAUGGUCGUCGUCAGCUCGUGUCGUGAGAUGUUGGGUUAAGUCCCGCAACGAGCGCAACCCUUGUUACUAGUUGCCAGCAUUAAGUUGGGCACUCUAGUGAGACUGCCGGUGACAAACCGGAGGAAGGUGGGGACGACGUCAGAUCAUCAUGCCCCUUAUGACCUGGGCUACACACGUGCUACAAUGGACGGUACAACGAGUCGCGAACUCGCGAGGGCAAGCAAAUCUCUUAAAACCGUUCUCAGUUCGGACUGCAGGCUGCAACUCGCCUGCACGAAGUCGGAAUCGCUAGUAAUCGCGGAUCAGCAUGCCGCGGUGAAUACGUUCCCGGGCCUUGUACACACCGCCCGUCACACCAUGAGAGUUUGUAACACCCAAAGUCGGUGGGGUAACCUUUUAGGAGCCAGCCGCCUAAGGUGGGACAGAUGAUUAGGGUGAAGUCGUAACAAGGUAGCCGUAGGAGAACCUGCGGCUGGAUCACCUCCUUU